UACAGAGGGUGCGAGCGUUGUUCGGAAUUAUUGGGCGUAAAGGGCGCGUAGGCGGUGCGGUAAGUCACCUGUGAAAUCUCCUGGCUCAACUGGGAGCUUGCAGGCGAAACUGCCGUGCUGGAGUGUGGGAGAGGUGCGUGGAAUUCCUGGUGUAGCGGUGAAAUGCGUAGAUAUCAGGAGGAACACCGGUGGCGAAGGCGGUUCUCUGGGCCUUACCUGACACUGAGGAGCGAAAGCGUGGGGAGCAAACAGG
rnacentral:rRNA from 1 species